rnacentral:rRNA from 1 species
GACAACUCUCAACGACGGAUAUCUUGGCUCUCGCAACGAUGAAGAACGCAGCGAAAUGCGAUACGUAGUGUGAAUUGCAGAAUUCCGUGAAUCAUCAAGUCUUUGAACGCAUAUUGCACUCGAGGCUUCGGCUGAGAGUAUCUCUGGCUCAGCGUCGAUG